rnacentral:rRNA from 1 species
UACGGAGGGUGCGAGCGUUGUCCGGAAUCACUGGGCGUAAAGGGCGCCGUAGGCGGCUCAUGAAGGCUGUGGUGAAAGUCCGGGGCUCAACCUCGGAUCGGCCGUGGCGACUCGUGGGCUGGAGCACUGUAGAGGCGGGUGGAAUUCCGGGUGUAGCGGUGGAAUGCGUAGAGAUCCGGAAGAACACCAGUGGCGAAGGCGGCCCGCUGGGGCAGUGGCUGACGCUGAAGCGCGACAGGCGUGGGGAGCAAACAGG